GUGAGGAGCUGCGGUAGGGCAGAUGACCGCUUUCAUCCUGGGGGAGCAACUGAAACAGACGCUUACCUAAGCUGUUUCCUCCACAACCCUGUAAGAUCCGUCUGGCUCGCUUUUUGGCAUCUUCCGGAAAACUUGGGCUGUCCAACAGGUUUGGGCAAGCUCUAAUGUGCGAAACCUAAACUGGAGACAGGAAGUCAACCUGAAUGUGGGCUUCCUGAAACCAAAAGACAUCAAUGCGUAACAACGUUUAGAAGAACAAAAUGCUUUGUAAUUGGGAAAUGCUCAAUAUUUAGCUGUACUUGGAGAACAAAGCCAACAUUUGUACCACUUAAAUGUUGUUCUUGCCCAAGUUCAGAGUAAUGGGAUCUCAAAGGACUUCUUAGGCACAACUUUGGUUUCUUACGAAAGGACUUAGAGGGUACUCAGAUUACAGCUACCCUGAAAUCUACUGAUGAGAAGCACAGUAACAGUAUUAAGUAUUGCAAACUGUUGUGAUUACCGAAAUUGCCAAAACCGGAAUCAUAGAAAAUAGCAUUAAAGCUUGUCUGUAUAAUGAAUUGAUCUUUAUAUAGUACUUUCCUCUUACCACUUGUAUGCUGUAGCAUUACAACUUCAAUUCAUUCAUGGUAACAUUGCAGAUAUUAUCAUCUAGCUGUUCCUAUUAUUUGUAAUUUUCUUCUGAUACAUUCUGUUCUUGGUAUGAAUAUCCAUGUAUUUUAGAUAUAACUUAAUAAUUCUCUAGACAGUACUUUAUCUGUGGAAAGAAUAAAAACCCCACUGAAUAUAGCUGACUAAUUAGGAAGUCGUUACUUAAUCAGGAUGCAUUUUAUAACCUUCCUGACACAAGGUUGCACAGCAUUU